UGAGGAAUAUUGGUCAAUGGGCGCAAGCCUGAACCAGCCAUCCCGCGUGAAGGAUGAAGGUCCUAUGGAUUGUAAACUUCUUUUAUACACCAAGAAAAAGCAGGACGUGUCCUGCCCCGACGGUAGUGUAUGAAUAAGCAUCGGCUAACUCCGUGCCAGCAGCCGCGGUAAUACGGAGGAUGCAAGUGUUAUCCGGAUUCAUUGGGUUUAAAGGGUGCGUAGUCGGCUUUUUAAGUCAGUGGUGAAAUCCUGCCGCUUAACGGUAGAAUUGCCAUUGAUACUGAGAAGCUUGAGUACAAUUGAGGUAAGCGGAAUGUGUAGUGUAGCGGUGAAAUGCUAGAAUAUUACACAGAACACCAAUGACGAAGGCAGCUUACAAAACUGUUACUGACGAUGAUGCACGGAAGCGUGGGGAGCGAACA
rnacentral:rRNA from 1 species